CACACCUGUAAUCCCAACACUUUGGGAGGCCAAGGCGGGCAGAUUGCCUGAGGCCAGGAGUUCGAGACCAGCCUGGCCAACAUGGUGAAACUCCGUCUCUACCAAAAAUAUAAAAAUUAGCCAGGUGUGGUGGUGGGUCCCUGUAGUGACAGCUAGUGGGGAGGCUGAGGCAGGAGAAUCACUUGAACCCGGGUCUUUUCUCUUCCCUCCCUACCUCUUCCUCCAUGAGAGAGAGAGAAAGGGAACUCCAGAUCCAGGCUGGACCCUGGAUGAAAGACAGCCACUUAAUUCUCUGAACCACGUCCUUGUGCCCUGCAGGGCUGCUUCUGGCCUGGCAGCCUGUGGCCCCGCACUCCCCUUCCCCCUGCCUUCAUCCUGUUCCUUCUCGUUCUAUUACCUGAACCUGCUGCCUCUCGAGCCUGGCAGAGUAGCAGGCAGAGUUCCAGGGCAUAUACUCCCCUUACAACACAGCUUAAUAUGGUCCAGAGGUGCCCCCACGGGGCUCCACCGCAUGAGAACUAGUGACCCAGAGAAAAACGCUAUGAAGUAGUGAAGGAGUUGCAGGAGGCGGCAGCGAGGGUCCUUGGGAGUCACUCAGAGGCAUGUGGAAGAUUCACGCGGGUUAAAGCUGAGCUGAUUAUGGAAUGAAAACUCACUGUGUCCUCUCUCCUCUCUCCUGGUCUGCAGCAUUACUUAGGAAUAAUGUGGCCUCAACUUCCUUCUCUUUCUUUAUUAUUUUUUUCUUUUUUGAGAUGGAGUUUCGCUCUUGUUGCCCAGGCUGGAGUGCAAUGGCACGAUCUCGGCUCACCGCAACCUCCGCCUCCUGGGUUUAAGCAAUUCUCCUGCCUCAGCCUCCCGAGUAGCUGGGAUUACAGGCAUGUGCCACCACGCCUGGCUAAUUUUGUAUUUUUAGUAGAGAUGGGGUUUCUCCAUGUUGGUCAGGCUGGU
rnacentral:lncRNA from 1 species